rnacentral:rRNA from 1 species
UGGGGAAUAUUGGACAAUGGGCGAAAGCCUGAUCCAGCCAUGCCGCGUGUGUGAAGAAGGUCUUCGGAUUGUAAAGCACUUUAAGUUGGGAGGAAGGGCUGCAAGUUAAUACCUUGUAGUUUUGACGUUACCAACAGAAUAAGCACCGGCUAACUUCGUGCCAGCAGCCGCGGUAAUACGAAGGGUGCAAGCGUUAAUCGGAAUUACUGGGCGUAAAGCGCGCGUAGGUGGUUUGGUAAGAUGGAUGUGAAAUCCCCGGGCUCAACCUGAGAACUGCAUCCAUAACUGCCUGACUAGAGUACGGUAUGGGGUGGUGGGAUUUCCAGUGGAGCGGUGAAAGGCUUAGAUAUAGGAAGGAACACCAGUGGCGAAGGCGACCACCUGGACUGAUACUGACACUGAGGUGCGAAAGCGUGGGGAGCAAACA